rnacentral:rRNA from 11 species
GAGAAUUCUAAGGCGCUCGAGUGAAUCAUGGUUAAGGAACUCGGCAAAUUAACCCUGUAACUUCGGGAUAAGGGGUGCCCCGAGCAAUCGGGGCCGCAGAGAAAUGGCCCAGGCGACUGUUUAUCAAAAACACAUGGCUUUGCUAAAUUGAAAGAUGACGUAUAAGGCCUGACACCUGCCCGGUGCCGGAAGGUUAAAAGGAGGAGUGAGAGCUCCGAAUUGAAGCCCCGGUAAACGGCGGCCGUAACAAUAACGGUCCUAAGGUAGCGAAAUUCCUUGUCGGGUAAGUUCCGACCCGCACGAAAGGCGUAACGAUUUGGGCACUGUCUCAACGAGAGACUCGG